AUUGAACGCUGGCGGCAGGCCUAACACAUGCAAGUCGAGCGAGCGGCGGGCGGGUGAGUAAUGUAUGGGGACUGCCCGAUAGAGGGGGAUAACUACUGGAAACGGUAGCUAAUACAGCAUACUAUCGGAUAACCCAUAUGGGAGUAGCUCGUAGGUGAGGUAAUGGCUCACCUAGGCGACGAGCCCUAGCUGGUCUGAGAGGAUGAUCAGCCACACUGGGACUGAGACAGGGCCCAGACGCCUACGGAGGCAGCAGUGGGGAAUAUUGCACAAUGGGCGCAAGUCUGAUGCAGCCGUGCAGCGUGUAUGAAGAAGGCCCUAGGGUUGUAAAGUACUUUCAGUCGGUAUGCGUUACCGACAGAAGAAGCACCGGCUAACUCCGUGCCAGCAGCCGCGGUAAUUC
rnacentral:rRNA from 1 species